GAAAGCUUCUAAUCAUUUCUAUUCUCUUUAAUCUGGGGCAUUUGAAACGUAAGUAAGUGACUGGUGCGGCAGCCCUCCCUGUGCAGUUCAAAUGUGUGAGUCACAGCCUUGGAGAGCAGGAAGCCGGCAAGGAAUGUGGUGACGUGGUUUCAGGAUCCAUCUGGCAGAGGUCUGUGAUCAGCCUGUUGGAAAACCCACCUCUGGGCACGGUUGCACGAAUGGAGGUUCUGAGCAGGAGGUGGGCCUGAUCAAAGUUGUUUAAUCUGACUUUUAAGGACGGAAAUACUGGAACUCUGGAACCCUGUUGAGAUGCAAUUGCAGGAAUCUAAAUAAAAGGUUUUUAGGUGCACUGCACAGUUUGGAAACUGAGUUAUACGGUGGCCUAAGCCAUAGACAAGCACUGCCGAGGAUCCAAGGCUAAGCGACCAACGGAAAACUUGAAGAACUGCGCUGCAGCCUAAAGUGUGGGUGCGCUAUUGGACAGAGGAGACUUUCAAUGCGGAUAAUGGAAUGUACCAGCCAGAAGAGUGCCAAGAAGAAAGAAAUUUAAGCACAAGAAAUACUCCCCAUGAAGACAGAGUCACUCAGGGAGAAUAUGAUGUGACAACAGAGGUGGAGAUUAGAGUGUCAAAUCUGCAAACUAAGGAAGACCAAGAAUUGAUUCACAGCACCAGAGGCCAGAGAGAUACAGAGUCACAAUGUGGCACAACCCUCCAAAUCCUUCAGUUCCUGACUUUAGAACAGCGAUGGACUGAAUUUGUCUUCAAUCCAUCUGGUAGAUCAUGGUUAGCCUAAGGAACCAAUGCAGAGAAGUCACCACAAGACUAAAAUCAGUGCUGUUCAAGAGGCUGUCACUGCAGUUGGUUAUAUCCCAAUAUUUAGUAAAUGCCACAAACUACUGUGUAGCAUGAGUGAAAGAAGAAGGUGACGUAGGCACUGACAAAGUUGGUGUUGUCAGGGCAGUUUGCUACUUGGGAGGCCCUCAAGUAUUGGAGUGUGAAUUGCAUUGUGAGCAGGAGGAAAUGAGGGAGCAUGGGACAAGAGAGAAUAUAAAGACAUAUUGUAGGUUGCUUCCCAGGCUCCUAUUACUUGUUGAGUAGAUAUUUGGGAGUUUAAUUGGAAUCUAAAUAAGAUUCUAAAAUCUUUUAAGAGCAACCUCUGAAAAGAAUGGAGGUCUAGAAAAUACUUCUAAGUGCAAAUAAAGGUGUGUUUCAGACAUUAAAGUAAGGAAAAAAAUAUAAGGAAUUCUGGUUAAAACUUAGUGUAUUCCUGGGAGUUUCCCUAGUUCAUUUUUCUUGAUAACCCCAUAAUGGCUCCCUCUAUCAAGAUUUGUCUUUCCUUGAUCUUCCUCUCUUGUCUUUCCCAUAACUCCAGAAGGAUGACCCCAACUAAGAAUCUAAGCAAUAGGGUAUCCCUUAAUUGCCCUUCCCCUGUAGUCAGAUUGAUGACUACCUUAAUUGUCAUCAUAGAACCUCAUCCAGUAACUGAUGGAAGCAGAUACAAAGAUCUAUAGCUAAUAACUGGGUUGAACUCCUGGAGCCCAGUCAUAGAGAGGAAGGAACGAUAAUAAAUAUAGGGGUCAAGAUCAUGAUGGGAAAAUCCACAGAAACUGAUGACCCAAGCUAGUGGGAGCACACUGACUCCAGACUGGCAGCUAGGGAACCUGCAUAAGACCCUCUGAAUGUGAGUGUGAGUUGUGGGGCUUGGGCAGUGAAACCAGUACUUAUCC
rnacentral:lncRNA from 1 species